GUCCGGAUUCGCAGAAGUGAGCUGUAGUGGUGUACAAAUUGCCAAUACCAUUGUUAUCGAACUGCCAGGUAGAACUUAGUUGCGAGUGUUUUCCCUACAGAGUGCAGAGCUGAAAAACUUCUUGUUGAUUUAGAUCCAAUCAAUGAAUCCCAUGUUUAUUAGUAUUGUAAUUUUCUUAAUGUUUUAACCACACUUGUGGAUAGAAGUAUAUACAAAUUUGAUGGGACUGAUUCAAUGGCAAUUAUUGUUCUUAGAGCCUUUGUCGCAUCUUCGAAGGGUUUUGCCUUUCGUAUUAUUAGGUUCAGUGAAUGAAGCGAAAACUGGAAAAGCAGCCUCGGAAAUUAUGUAAUAUUGUCGCUUGCUAGGCAGAGCUUGUGGCUUCUGUCUGCUGCAGGUAUCCGAGCUUGUUGAGACAAUUUGAAGGACAUGUUUGUAUUGUCGAUGCUUAAAAAUAAGGUCUGAGUUCAAAUUCUAAGAAUUUGUUGCCAUAAUAUCAGCCUUGGCAGUCCGAAGUUUAUUUUGUUUCAAUGUUAGUUAUUGAAAGUUAUCUUUUCGAACUAAACGAACAAAGUGAAAAUCAGACUUGUAUCACUUCCAUCUUUUUAAUUUUAAGAAUGGAUAGCAGAUCAUUGCAUUAGGGAAUGUCGCAGCCUGAGCAAGGUCCGUUGCUCAGAUGAGAAAGUCUGGGAAAAAAAAAAAAAAAGCCAUUGAACAUGCCCUUUGGGUAGCCAGUUUGCACGUUAGUUGUAGUGUUCGCGGUUAAGGCUGCAGGCAUGCUGGAGGAAUUAAUCUUCCAGUAGUGGUGAAUCUGAUUUUUCAAUCAAACAAGUUCUGGGGUUCGUUGUAAUAAGUUUUCUGAAUGGUGAGUGGUUAAAAGAGAGAGAGAGAGAGAUGAUGAAAAUUUGAAGAUCUGUAACGCUGGGGAAAACAAGUAGCUAAUGGUAUGGCAGAAAUUACAAAAGAAUUGUAAUGGAGAAUCGAAGGAAAAAUAAUAAAGUAACGGUGUUGGAUUUCCAUGGAUCUGGGGGAUACGUCUACGGAGCCCGUUGAGAAAUCCGAACCUGGAAUUUGGAUGCAGCAAUUAAUGUUCGCAAAUGAAUCCCGCGGUCAGUCCCGUGUUUUGUUGUUUGUACGAGUCCUGAAAUGGGCUUUUCUUUCAGUCCUUGGACUUGGGAUUCCAUGGCUUCUCUUAUCAGUCCAUGUAGAGGAAUGAAUUUGUCAUUGGAAAAAUAUAAAGGAUCGCUGGUAAAAAUUGAUAUUAAUCGAAGAUCUUUUGUUAUUAAA